rnacentral:rRNA from 1 species
GUGGGGAAUCUUGCGCAAUGGGCGAAAGCCUGACGCAGCCAUGCCGCGUGAAUGAUGAAGGUCUUAGGAUUGUAAAAUUCUUUCACCGGGGACGAUAAUGACGGUACCCGGAGAAGAAGCCCCGGCUAACUUCGUGCCAGCAGCCGCGGUAAUACGAAGGGGGCUAGCGUUGCUCGGAAUUACUGGGCGUAAAGGGAGCGUAGGCGGAUAGUUCAGUCAGAGGUGAAAGCCCAGGGCUCAACCUUGGAAUUGCCUUUGAUACUGGCUGUCUUGAGUAUGGGAGAGGUUAGCGGAACUCCGAGUGUAGAGGUGAAAUUCGUAGAUAUUCGGAAGAACACCAGUGGCGAAGGCGGCUAACUGGCCCAUUACUGACGCUGAGGCUCGAAAGCGUGGGGAGCAAACAGGAUUAGAAACCCGUGUAGUCC